rnacentral:rRNA from 1 species
CCUACGUGAGGCUGCAGUGAGGAAUAUUGGUCAAUGGCCGGAAGGCUGAACCAGCCAUGCCGCGUGAAGGUCAGUGCCCUAUGGGCGUUAAACUUCUUUUGUGCGGGAGCAAUAAUGGUCACGUGUGGCCAGACGAGAGUACCGUACGAAUAAGCAUCGGCUAACUCCGUGCCAGCAGCCGCGGUAAUACGGGGGAUGCAAGUGUUAUCCGGCAUUAUUGGGCUUAAAGGGUGCGUUUGCGGUCGGUUAAGUUAGAGGUGAAAUACCGAGGACCAAACUCCGACUUGCCUCUGAUACUGUUCGGCUAGAGAGUAGUUGCGGUAGGCGGAAUGUAUGGUGUAGCGGUGAAAUGCUUAGAGAUCAUACAGAACACCGAUUGCGAAGGCAGCUUACCAAGCUACUUCUGACGUUGAGGCACGAAAGCGUGGGGAGCAAACAGGAUUAGAUACCCCUGUAGUC